rnacentral:rRNA from 1 species
GCUAAAAACUUAGCCCACCUCAACUAAUGCAUAAACAAAAAUAUAAUUUAAUAAUUAAAACAUUUUUUUUAUUUAGUAAAGGCGAUUGAAAAAUUUUAAUGGCGCUAUAAAAAUAGUACCGCAAGGGAAAAGUGAAAUAUUAAUGAAAAACUUUAAGCAUUAAAAAGUAAAGAAUUUACCUUGUACCUUUUGCAUCAUGAUUUAACUAGUAAAACCGAGCAAAACGACUUAUAGUUCAACCCCCCGAAACUAAGCGAGCUACUUAUAGACAACCUAUUGGGUAAACCCGUCUCUGUUGCAAAAGAGUGGGAAGAUCUAAAAGUAGCGGUGAUAGACCUAACGAGCUUAGUGAUAGCUGGUUAUUCAAGAAAAGAAUUUAAGUUCUACCUAAAGUUUUUCUAUUUAAUAGUAAAAUUAUUUUUAACUUUAGAGCUAUUUAAAUAAGGUACAGCCUAUUUAAAACAGGAGACAACCUAAUCUAAUGGGUAAUAUAAUAAAAAUUAACAAAGUAGGCCUAAAAGCAGCCACCUUUAAAACAGCGUCAAAGCUUAAUUAAGUGUUUUAACAACAUUCUUAACACAACAUUUAACCCUUUAUUUUUAUUGAAUAACUCUAUAACCUUAUAGAAAUUAUUAUGUUAAAACUAGUAAUAAGAAGAAAGAACUUCUCUUUAAUGUAAGUGUAAAUCAACUAGGACAAACCGUUGAUAAUUAACAUUAAUAAACAAAUAUUAGUAACUUCUCAAGAAAACUCUAAUAAUUAAUAUGUUAACCUGACACAAGAACAUUACAAGAAAGAUUAAAAGAAAAAGAAGGAACUCGGCAAACAUUAACCUCGCCUGUUUACCAAAAACAUCGCCUCUUGUUAAAACAUAGGAGGUCCAGCCUGCCCAGUGACCCUGUUUAACGGCCGCGGUAUCCUAACCGUGCGAAGGUAGCGUAAUCACUUGUUCUUUAAAUAAGGACUAGUAUGAAUGGCACCACGAAGGUUAUACUGUCUUCUUUUUUUAAUCAAUGAAACUAAUCUUCCCGUGAAGAAGCGGGAAUUUUUAUAUAAGACGAGAAGACCCUAUGGAGCUUUAAUCUUUCUGUUAUUUGCUAAAGAAUUUUAAAAUUUCUGAAUUACACAAAUUAUUCCAGCCCUUUAAUAGUCAGCUUUAGGUUGGGGUGACCGCGGAGUAAAAAACAACCUCCACAUUGAAAGGAUAAGAUGUCCUGAGUAACAAACUACAAUUUUAUACACCAUAAAAAUGACAUUUAUUGACCCAAUAUUUUGAUCAACGAACCAAGUUACCCUAGGGAUAACAGCGCAAUCCACUUCAAAAGCUCCUAUCGACAAGUGGGUUUACGACCUCGAUGUUGGAUCAGGGUAUCCCAGUGGUGCAGCCGCUACUAAAGGUUCGUUUGUUCAACGAUUAAAACCCU